UAGUUGCGGAGAGCAGAACACGGCAGC
rnacentral:piRNA from 1 species